CAGGGGUACCGGUACAGAGUCAAUGUGGAGACUAUAUACAGGGGGUACCGGUACAGAGUCAAUGUGGAGACUAUAUACAGGGGGUACCGGUACAGAGUCAAUGUGGAGGCUAUAUACAGGGGGUACCGGUACAGAGUCAAUGUGGAGACUAUAUACAGGGGGUACCGGUACAGAGUCAAUGUGGAGGCUAUAUACAGGGGGUACCGGUACAGAGUCAAUGUGGAGACUAUAUACAGGGGGUACCGGUACAGAGUCAAUGUGGAGACUAUAUACAGGGGGUACCGGUACAGAGUCAAUGUGGAGACUAUAUACAGGGGGUACCGGUACAGAGUCAAUGUGGAGGCUAUAUACAGGGGGUACCGGUACAGAGUCAAUGUGGAGGCUAUAUACAGGGGGUACCGGUACAGAGUCAAUGUGGAGACUAUAUACAGGGGGUACCGGUACAGAGUCAAUGUGGAGGCUAUAUACAGGGGGUACCGGUACAGAGUCAAUGUGGAGACUAUAUACAGGGGGUACCGGUACAGAGUCAAUGUGGAGACUAUAUACAGGGGGUACCGGUACAGAGUCAAUGUGGAGGCUAUAUACAGGGGGUACCGGUACAGAGUCAAUGUGGAGGCUAUAUACAGGGGAUACCGGUACAGAGUCAAUGUGGAGGCUAUAUACAGGGGGUACCGGUACAGAGUCAAUGUGGAGACUAUAUACAGGGGGUACCGGUACAGAGUCAAUGUGGAGACUAUAUACAGGGGGUACCGGUACAGAGUCAAUGUGGAGGCUAUAUACAGGGGGUACCGGUACAGAGUCAAUGUGGAGGCUAUAUACAGGGGGUACCGGUACAGAGUCAAUGUGGAGACUAUAUACA